UACGUAGGGGGCAAGCGUUGUCCGGAUUUAUUGGGCGUAAAGAGCGUGUAGGCGGCCUGACAGGUCUGCUGUGAAAACUCGAGGCUCAACCUCGAGACGCCGGUGGAAACCGUAAAGCUAGAGUCCGGAAGAGGAGAGUGGAAUUCCUGGUGUAGCGGUGAAAUGCGCAGAUAUCAGGAAGAACACCCGUGGCGAAGGCGGCUCUCUGGGACGGUACUGACGCUGAGACGCGAAAGCGUGGGGAGCGAACAGG
rnacentral:rRNA from 1 species